UAAGUUAUUAAGGGCGCACGGUGGAUGCCUUGGCACUAGAAGCCGAUGAAGGACGUUACUAACGACGAUAUGCUUUGGGGAGCUGUAAGUAAGCUUUGAUCCAGAGAUUUCCGAAUGGGGAAACCCAGCAUGAGUUAUGUCAUGUUAUCGAUAUGUGAAUACAUAGCAUAUCAGAAGGCACACCCGGAGAACUGAAACAUCUUAGUACCCGGAGGAAGAGAAAGAAAAUUCGAUUCCCUUAGUAGCGGCGAGCGAAACGGGAAGAGCCCAAACCAAAAAGCUUGCUUGUUGGGGUUGUAGGACACUCUAUACGGAGUUACAAAGGACGACAUUAGACGAAUCAUCUGGAAAGAUGAAUCAAAGAAGGUAAUAAUCCUGUAGUCGAAAAUGUUGUCUCUCUUGAGUGGAUCCUGAGUACGACGGAGCACGUGAAAUUCCGUCGGAAUCUGGGAGGACCAUCUCCUAAGGCUAAAUACUCUCUAGUGACCGAUAGUGAACCAGUACCGUGAGGGAAAGGUGAAAAGCACCCCGGAAGGGGAGUGAAAUAGAACCUGAAACCGUGUGCUUACAAGUAGUCAGAGCCCGUUAAUGGGUGAUGGCGUGCCUUUUGUAGAAUGAACCGGCGAGUUACGAUUUGAUGCAAGGUUAAGCAGUAAAUGUGGAGCCGUAGCGAAAGCGAGUCUGAAUAGGGCGUUUAGUAUUUGGUCGUAGACCCGAAACCAGGUGAUCUACCCUUGGUCAGGUUGAAGUUCAGGUAACACUGAAUGGAGGACCGAACCGACUUACGUUGAAAAGUGAGCGGAUGAACUGAGGGUAGCGGAGAAAUUCCAAUCGAACCUGGAGAUAGCUGGUUCUCUCCGAAAUAGCUUUAGGGCUAGCCUCAAGUGAUGAUUAUUGGAGGUAGAGCACUGUUUGGACGAGGGGCCCCUCUCGGGUUACCGAAUUCAGACAAACUCCGAAUGCCAAUUAAUUUAACUUGGGAGUCAGAACAUGGGUGAUAAGGUCCGUGUUCGAAAGGGAAACAGCCCAGACCACCAGCUAAGGUCCCAAAAUAUAUGUUAAGUGGAAAAGGAUGUGGCGUUGCCCAGACAACUAGGAUGUUGGCUUAGAAGCAGCCAUCAUUUAAAGAGUGCGUAAUAGCUCACUAGUCGAGUGACACUGCGCCGAAAAUGUACCGGGGCUAAACAUAUUACCGAAGCUGUGGAUUGUCCUUUGGACAAUGGUAGGAGAGCGUUCUAAGGGCGUUGAAGCAUGAUCGUAAGGACAUGUGGAGCGCUUAGAAGUGAGAAUGCCGGUGUGAGUAGCGAAAGACGGGUGAGAAUCCCGUCCACCGAUUGACUAAGGUUUCCAGAGGAAGGCUCGUCCGCUCUGGGUUAGUCGGGUCCUAAGCUGAGGCCGACAGGCGUAGGCGAUGGAUAACAGGUUGAUAUUCCUGUACCACCUAUAAUCGUUUUAAUCGAUGGGGGGACGCAGUAGGAUAGGCGAAGCGUGCGAUUGGAUUGCACGUCUAAGCAGUAAGGCUGAGUAUUAGGCAAAUCCGGUACUCGUUAAGGCUGAGCUGUGAUGGGGAGAAGACAUUGAGUCUUCGAGUCGUUGAUUUCACACUGCCGAGAAAAGCCUCUAGAUAGAAAAUAGGUGCCCGUACCGCAAACCGACACAGGUAGUCAAGAUGAGAAUUCUAAGGUGAGCGAGCGAACUCUCGUUAAGGAACUCGGCAAAAUGACCCCGUAACUUCGGGAGAAGGGGUGCUCUUUAGGGUUAACGCCCAGAAGAGCCGCAGUGAAUAGGCCCAAGCGACUGUUUAUCAAAAACACAGGUCUCUGCUAAACCGUAAGGUGAUGUAUAGGGGCUGACGCCUGCCCGGUGCUGGAAGGUUAAGAGGAGUGGUUAGCUUCUGCGAAGCUACGAAUCGAAGCCCCAGUAAACGGCGGCCGUAACUAUAACGGUCCUAAGGUAGCGAAAUUCCUUGUCGGGUAAGUUCCGACCCGCACGAAAGGCGUAACGAUUUGGGCACUGUCUCAACGAGAGACUCGGUGAAAUCAUAGUACCUGUGAAGAUGCAGGUUACCCGCGACAGGACGGAAAGACCCCGUGGAGCUUUACUGUAGCCUGAUAUUGAAAUUCGGCACAGCUUGUACAGGAUAGGUAGGAGCCUUUGAAACGUGAGCGCUAGCUUACGUGGAGGCGCUGGUGGGAUACUACCCUAGCUGUGUUGGCUUUCUAACCCGCACCACUUAUCGUGGUGGGAGACAGUGUUAAGCGGGCAGUUUGACUGGGGCGGUCGCCUCCUAAAAGGUAACGGAGGCGCUCAAAGGUUCCCUCAGAAUGGUUGGAAAUCAUUCAUAGAGUGUAAAGGCAUAAGGGAGCUUGACUGCGAGACCUACAAGUCGAGCAGGGUCGAAAGACGGACUUAGUGAUCCGGUGGUUCCGCAUGGAAGGGCCAUCGCUCAACGGAUAAAAGCUACCCCGGGGAUAACAGGCUUAUCUCCCCCAAGAGUUCACAUCGACGGGGAGGUUUGGCACCUCGAUGUCGGCUCAUCGCAUCCUGGGGCUGUAGUCGGUCCCAAGGGUUGGGCUGUUCGCCCAUUAAAGCGGUACGCGAGCUGGGUUCAGAACGUCGUGAGACAGUUCGGUCCCUAUCCGUCGUGGGCGUAGGAAAUUUGAGAGGAGCUGUCCUUAGUACGAGAGGACCGGGAUGGACAUACCUCUGGUGUACCAGUUGUCGUGCCAACGGCAUAGCUGGGUAGCUAUGUGUGGACGGGAUAAGUGCUGAAAGCAUCUAAGCAUGAAGCCCCCCUCAAGAUGAGAUUUCCCAACUUCGGUUAUAAGAUCCCUCAAAGAUGAUGAGGUUAAUAGGUUCGAGGUGGAAGCAUGGUGACAUGUGGAGCUGACGAAUACUAAUCGAUCGAAGACUUAAUCA
rnacentral:rRNA from 1 species